rnacentral:lncRNA from 1 species
CGCGGAUUCUUGUUUUCUUUGGCAAUUGAAGGAUUGAAUUCGAAUUCGAAACAGAAAGAAAUUGUCACGACAAUCGGAGAAAGGAAGGAAGAAAUUAGGAAGUGAGAUUCAGGGGUCGAGGCCUUGGCAGCGGUGGUACCAGCCUUCUUUGCAAGAGGCGAAAGAGAAAGCAGAUGCAGCAGAGAGAACGCCAGCGGAGAGCAUGUAAUUGCUACAAUUACUUGAGAUUUUCACCAUUCACAAUGACUCUGGAGUCGUCGUCGUCGUCGUGGUGUCGGUGGUUUGAGAGAUUCGACGGAGAAGGAAGAACAGGAAAGCGGAGGUGAGGCGGCGAGCGAGAGGUGGGAGCAAGAGAACAGAGUGUAGGGUUUGGAGUAUGAGGUGGCGAUGGAAUUUGGGGGCGGAAGCUGGGACUAUAUAGGAAUAGUUUGUGGGGAAGGAUCCGUGGAUUUAAUUUGGGGGAAUAAUAGUUGGCAGUGGAUGAAUUUAGGGUUGGGUGAAAACGGCGUUAUUCGUCUACCGUGUCCGUUUGCGUGUGGUGGUGGGUGGGCCGCUUCCGGUUGGCAUUGCACAAUCCCAACGUUAUUCUAACCGUUUUUCACAACUCGUGGUUGUUAUGGCGUCUGUAAAUAUCAUUUAUUGAACGAUUAGACUUGGCAAUUUAAUUCGAUAAAUCGAAACCCCGUCCACAUCUGUUCUGUAUUGACCGAAUUUUAUUUAUGUUGAUUGGGCAUUUAAUGGGCAUGAAUCUACCCACUAUCCGGUCAAAUCGGAGAUAGAUGGGUUUCGAAAAUUAAAUAUUCACCCCGACCACCCGCUAAUAUCCAUAUAAUUACAUGGAUUUAUUUAUUAAUACCCCUUCCAGAUUGCGGGUCAGUUUCUUUUUGUCCCCUAUUUCUUCUCUUCUACUCCCUCACACAAAAUUGCAGUCGCUUAUAAUCUUUAAUUUCUAUCUUCAAACAAUGUCCCAAUCAAUGAUUCCACUCUUGGAGAGUGGCUCUUCAGUCCAGGUAUUCCUCCUCAAUUUUCUCUAUCCAGUCUCCAACCAAAUCAUUUUUCUUUUCGAUUAGUGAUUUCCUUUUCGAUCGUUUCUUUUUAGCAGGUUUAUUUAGAGUCCAGUCAAUGAUUUAAUUUCACUUAUCCGACUUCAAAGUAUGCUUCUUGCAAAUUUAUUUUUAAGAUUUUGAUCUCUGAGUAAUGAAUUGAUUGAUAUUUGUGCACAAUGAAAGGAGAAACGAAUAUGCAUCUAGCCUUUAUCAAGUUUUUUUUUAUCUUUUAGUAAGUUUCAAACUUUUAGUUUUCCGGUGAAUUUAAUUUUCUAAAAAAAAUUAGAGUUUUCAUUUACAUGAAUUUGAAUCCGAUUUAUUAUUGUGUUUGUACUAGUUCUGGCAAUUGCUCUAUAUGUUUUUGUUGAUAUGUUGUUGCUCCACGGCUUCCCAUGUUGAUGAUGGUUUGCUUGUUGCUGCAUGGAUCGUUUGGCUUCCGUUUGAGUGUGAUGGAUUAUGAAUGGAUUUCUGUGUUAUAUAGAAUUUUUUAGUUGACGAGUAUGGGGAUGACGAGUAUGAAAAUAUAUAUUCGAACGAAUAUGAAAAUGGAAAUGGAGAUGAAUUUUAGAAAUGGAUAUAGCGGCCGGCGCACCAUGCCUUAUUGCCAUGCCUAUGUGGAAGCAAGAAUAAUUGAACAUCAUUUUCUGUCUUGUUUCCAUACAUCAUCAUCUAAUUAUAAAUCAUCCGAACCAAACAAUGAAUUUUUAAGAUUGAAAUAUAGUGUCGAAGAGUAGAUAGACUAUAUUAAUAAAAGAAAAUAUUAUUUAAAAAUUCUGGAAAAAAAGAUAGAUGGAAUAAUUAAAAUCAAUGAUAGUGAGAAGUGAGUUGGUGGAGAAGGUCGGCGGUGAGAAGCUGGUAUGUCUUCUGGCUAGGAUGGAUGCUAUCAAAGAACACAUACUGCGAUGACAAAUUGCCGCAAGUUGGCGUCAACGGCGAGCACAGGAAUCCCCCUUCCAAUAGCCCACUCCCGCAGCACCCUUUCCUCGCUUCCAAUAGAUAUAUGUUUGACUUUGAUCCCAAUUGAAUUUCUAAUUAGACCUUAAAGGGAAAACCAUGCAUGCAUUUAUUUUUUAUUUUUAAUAAAUGAUUGAACAACUAUAGGAGUGUGUAUAUUCAAAGAGAUUACCGUAACGAAAGUCUCCACUUUCUUGAGAAGGAAGUCCUGAUAGCUGCUCAAAUCGAACUGCAACCUCCUAGUAAUCGAAUCAAAAAAGUUGUCCACAAAAUCAUUAGUCCCGGCGCUGACUAUUAUCAACGCGCCGCCGACCGUCUUGUUGACUUCCUUAUCAUCAUCGAUUAUCUUCCUCAACCUCCCGACGUACUCCCUAAACAUCUCCACCUGCCUCUCCAUCGGGAUAACCAACGACAUCAGCGCCGUCAGCUCGUCGUACCCGGUCCCGGACGACACGAACGACACCCCUGUCUUGAGCUCCUCAUCCGUCACGUGUGGGUCCAAGUACGGCGCUACAAUACCAGCCGGCUUGAUCCCCAGGUGGCCGGCGAUCAUGUCCGGAAUGAGCCUCCCGUCCGAGAAUCUUCCCGUAGGCUUGUGAGCCGGCGGAAAGUUUAUUCCGUAUGGGAGGUGUCGGCCUUGGUUAGGGCUGCGAUUAGGUGGUUGUUGUUGCCCGUGGAGUCGCCGAAGAUGAUGGCGGCUGUGAAGUUGGGGAGGUGGUGGUGGUGG